rnacentral:rRNA from 1 species
GAUGAACGCUGGCGGCGUGCCUAAUACAUGCAAGUCGAGCGAACAGACGAGGAGCUUGCUCCUCUGACGUUAGCGGCGGACGGGUGAGUAAGACGUGGAUAACCUACCUAUAAGACUGGGAUAACUUCGGGAAACCGCAUCUAAUACCGGAUAAUAUAUUGAACCGCAUGGUUCAAUAGUGAUAGACGGCUUUGCUGUUACUUUUAGAUGGAUCCGCGCCGCAUUAUCUAGUUGGUAAGGUAACGGCUUACCAAGGCACCGAUGCGUAGCCGACCGGAGAGGUGAACAGGCCCCACGGAAACUGAACACGGGCCCAGACUCCUACGGGAGGCAGCAGUGGGGAAUUUUCCGAAAUGGGCGAAAGCUUGACGGAGCAACGCGGGGGGGGGGAUGAAGGUCUCCGGAUCGUAAAACUUUGUUAUUGGGGAAAAAAAAAUGUGUAAGUAACUAUGCUCGUCUUGACGGAACCUAAUCAGAAAGCCCCGGCUAACUACGU